UAAAGAAUAUAAAUCUACACUAAAAUUAAUGAAAUAGAAAAUUAAUAUCUGAGAAUAUCUCGGAUAUUAAAAUUCAAUGAUAAUCAUAAUUAAAGAUUUCAAUAUAAAUAUAUUGGAAUAUUCUCACAAGGAAUGUUUGAUUAAGAUUUGACUUAAAUAAGCAAAUUCUUCCUUAACGUAGAACCAACGUUGUCGAUAUAAAAAGGAUGAACAGAAAAAAAUUGUUCGUCAUUUUUCGUCAUUUACAUUCCAUAUUACCUAUGGUUCAGCGUGAAAAAAAAUAUUCUUGGCCUUCUUCCAUGUUCGUUCGCGCACUGGUGAUACAACUUUAAAGGCUUUUAAGAGACGCUCACUGCCAGCCAAGUGAUUCCUUUUGAGGGACAAAUUCGAUAUUAAACUCAUGUUUGCGCGUGAUUCAUUUAAAAAAAAAACCAUUAUUAUCGUAACUAGUUAAAAUUUAGAAUUUAGCGAGACAAGUGUGUUGUAGAAAUGAGAUCUAUAGAAAUUUUUUGUAUUUUUGUAUUUUACAGUCGUAAGAUUUUUAGCGUAUACGAUAAAUAGGCGAUUUCAAAACAUAAUUCCAAUAAAAAGAAGGAGAUUCUUUGUGAAUAAUUAACAAACGUAAAAUAAAAAUCUUCUCUUUAAAGAAUUUUAUUCUACGUCUUGUAGAAUUUUAUUUUUUUCCAAAGUAUAGCCUUCUUUAAUUCUUUUUAUCACGUAUUUCCAAGCACAACGCGAUUAAAAAUAUGAAGACAUCAUUCAAGGAAACGAUCUACGAGAUUCGAUUCAUACAAAUUGUAGAUAUUGUAAUCUCGAAAUCUUUCUCGUCACAAAAAGGGUGCAUCUUGCAAUUUUAUGCAACAAUUAUUUGCAAGAAACGGAUAAACGAGAGAUACAUUCGAAAAUCAUGUGUUCUAUUUCACGCUGAACCAUUCGAUGUUUACCGAUCGUGCCUGGAUUAAUUUGUUAUAUUAACGGUUAUUGCCUGGUCACUCGCAAAUUUCGAUUCAUUGAAUAAUUAAAAAAGAAAAAAAAAAGAAGGGAAAAAGAAAAGAAAGGGAAAAUGAAAUGAGAAAAUUUCUAUUUCGCAUACUUCACUUUGCAAUCGUUCAUCUUUGCUGUUAAUAAAUACCGUUGCUACAUCGUAUUACGUUUUUAUCCCUAAUCUAAGGAUAUAUUACCGUGAUUCCACAUUAAACUUUUGAGAAUCAUGAAGAAUACUGCCUAUCUACGUAUUUAAUUCCUUUGGUUAUUCUCGUUGUAGUUUUUCCGUGACGAGACCUCUUUGGAUGUUUUUUUUUUUCUCUCUCUUUUUUUAGAGAUGAAUCUUGAAAGUUUCAACUUUGCAGAAACAUUCGAAGAACGUGUAUUUCUGUGCAAUAGUUAUAGAUUUUGUAUAGCUUGAUCGAAGUACACUUGUACUGAGAUAUCCUUUUAUGAAAUUUUUGUAUAUCCACUUUGAUUUGUUGGAAUAUUUUAGGUUCGAAUAACUUUCGUUUAGAUGUUAAAAUUUCGAGAAAACGUCCGAAGAGAAUAAUAACGCGUUUUGCGACACGAAAACGUCACGAGUAUUUCAUAGAGAAAAUGUUAAUAAGAGAGUGUGUGAGAAACAGAGUAAGCAUGAUAAUGAAGAAACGAAGAAAGCACAAUAAUUACAAUUCCACAUGUCCUACCGUUAACGAUAAUGAAAUUUUUUUUGUUAUUCCCGUUUUUUUUCGAGAAAAUGCCAACAGAGUGAAAGGACAAGAAAGAUAGAGAAUGAAUGAAUGAAUGAGUGAGAGAGAAAUAAAAGUGCAUAAAAAAGGAAACGCAGAUACUUCAGUUCAUACUUGAGAGUUUUAGUUUAUUAAUUUACUUAAUAUUAAUAAAAAAAAAACGAAUGGAAUGAUAAUAACACUAAUAUCAUUGUAAUAAUGAUUAUUAUAUAUAUAUUGCUAUUAUUAUAAAACUGUUUGUAAUAUAUAUUUUAAUUUUGAAAAAACAGCGUGUCGUUUGUUUUUGUGUACGUUUGUCUAACUGUAUUUUCCUUUUUUUUUUUUUUUUUUUUAAAUUUCGUAUCUUUUUCAUUCUCCGUCAAAGUUUUAUCCCUGAUUUCUUAACAAAAAACAAAUACUGACUAUCUACUGUGUGUACAACGCGAUAUAACACACAAUGCUGCCCAUUGUGUUAGCUGUGCAUAAUUGUUGCAUGCCAUACACAAAGGAAAGUCGAUCUAUCAAUGAUGAAAUGGUAGCUGAGAAGGAGAAAUACAAGGAGAUCGGAGAUGGAUUGGAUCAGGCGUUCCAAGAACUCUAUGGCGUCUAACGAGCCACUAACCAACCCCUCUAACGCUUCGACCAAAUAAAUAAAAA